rnacentral:rRNA from 1 species
GUGGGGAAUAUUGGGCAAUGGGGGAAACCCUGACCCAGCAACGCCGCGUGAAGGACGAAGGCCUUCGGGUUGUAAACUUCUUUGAUCAGGGACGAAAGCAAUGACGGUACCUGAAGAACAAGCCACGGCUAACUACGUGCCAGCAGCCGCGGUAAUACGUAGGUGGCGAGCGUUAUCCGGAUUUACUGGGUGUAAAGGGCGUGUAGGCGGGUUUGCAAGUCGGGUGUGAAAGAUUCGGGCUUAACCCGGAGAGGUCAUCCGAAACUGCAGAUCUUGAGUGCUGGAGAGGAUAGUGGAAUUCCUGGUGUAGCGGUAAAAUGCGUAGAGAUCAGGAGGAACACCAGUGGCGAAGGCGGCUAUCUGGACAGUAACUGACGCUGAGGCGCGAAAGCGUGGGGAGCAAACAGGAUUAGAUACCCCGGUAGUCC